AACCUAGCACACCUGCGGUGUGUACCUGCGGAGGGAUCAUUAAUAAAUGUUACUUCGGUAACUUAAUUAAUCCCUAACACCUGUGCAUCUUGUCGCUUCGGCGUCAUUUUAUAAACAUCAGUGUAAUGAAUGUAAAGUAUUAUAACAAAUACAACUUUCAACAACGGAUCU
rnacentral:misc_RNA from 1 species